rnacentral:rRNA from 1 species
CGGGGUGCCCAGGCGCGAAACCUUUACAAUGCUGGCAACAGCGAUUGGGGGACCUCUAGUGCCAGGUUACAAAUCUGGCUGUCAUUGUGUCUAAAAAACAGGAUAAACCAAGGGCCGGGCAAUUACCGGUGCCAACCACCGCGGUAACACCGGCGGCUCGAGUGGUAACCGUUUAUUAUUGGGUUUAAAGGGUCUGUAGCCGGACUGGUUAGUCCUUUGGGAAAUCCGGCAGCUCAACUGUCAGGCUUUCACAAGAUACUGCCUAGCUCUAAACCGGGAGAGGUAAGAGGUACUUCAUGGGUACGGAUGAAAUCAUGUAAUCCUUGAAGGAUUUCCAAUGACAAAUGCGUCUUACCAUAACGAAUCUUACGACCAGGGACUAAAGCUAAGGGCACGAACCGGAUUAGAUACCCCGGUAGUCCUAACCGUAAACGAUACUCCCUAGGUGUCGGCCACUGUGCAACCGUGAUCAGUGCCAUAAGUAAACCGUGAAACUAGCCAUCUGGGAAUUACUGUUGCAAGGAUGAAACUUAUAUGAAUUGUGGGGCGACCAAAA